rnacentral:lncRNA from 1 species
UUUUUUUUUUUUUUUUUUAGCUGGGUUUCAAUUCCCUAAAUAUUUAUCGAGUGGAUCUCCCACAUUAGAUAAGUAUUCGAUGGAGUUGAAAUACAAAUAGAUUGUUCAAGUUUGAGCUCGAGAAAAAUAAUAAUUAUUUGUGCUUUACUCAACCUGUAUAUACCCUUAUGUUUAUUUCUAUAUUAGCCACUUAAAUUCGAAAUCCUAAUAACAUCCUCUUAUCAACAGUUCUAAAGACAGAUAAUAUAGAAGAAGGGCGAGAAAUGUAGAUUAGUUUUUUAAAAAAACGUAGAUCAGAGGUUUAUCUGCAAACAAGUUAAGACCUAAUAAUGACCUAAUAGCACGUGGUUUCAAAUGACAAGCCACUGGUAAAAAUCUGCUGUACGUAUGCCUGCGUUGUUUUAUGUGGUACGCUGCUUUUAAUCUUAGGUACAGAUAGUCAUCGCCAUCAAGUAUCAACCCAUCGCUGUCGCAUCGCCAACAAUUGUGAUGAAAUAAAUGUCAAUAGAUAAUUGUCUCUACUCUCUAAUCACAACAAACAGAGAAUUCGGAUGAUGAUUUUGAUCACCUGGAGAAUAAUUCUGUUUGUCUUUGAAGGGUACUUUCUUUAACCCUACUGACUACGAUGAGUUCAAAACUACAAUAGAUAUAAACCAUUUUAGGGGUAUGCUUGUGGCACCGUUGCGAUUGCGAGACACCCUGAAAACAUAUUACGGUGUAGACUUGCAGUAAAUUCACUCCAGUUCCUUCUUACCACCCGGUAGAAAAGCUUUCAAACUACUCCAAAUUCGACAGGCAUUUUGAACAGAACAAUCACUUGAAAAACCCAAAACAAGAAAACAAAACAAAAUACUCCCGACUAAAUAUUGCAUUUCACCAGUUGUAAAAUGAAUAAUCCGUAGGGACUACAGCGUCCCGGAAAUUUUUUUUUUUUUUUUAUCCCACAAGCAUUGACAGCUGCAAACUUCCACGCAGAAACAUGCAUUUAAAGCUAAAACAUGGAACACCCGGUGCAAAAAUCCAACAGAACAUCCCUGGUGAUGGCAGGGCAAUUGAAAUGUAUUAUUGAUUUCCUUCGCAUUAACGGAGCUAGUAUUAAAAUAGGCCAUUACUAAGACAAUAUGGAAAAUACCCACUUGAGAUAUUAUUAUUAAUCGCACUCUACUUUUUGUUAAUAGCAUUCCCCCUAUUUAUUUUAUCGUAUGAUUACUAAUAAAUGAAAAUCAUAUGAUAAAAAUGAUAGCAAAAGUGCCAUUAACAAAAAAAUAUAGUGCCAUUAAUAAUUCUCCGUUCAAUAUUAGAAGAUGAAGUUCGAAAUCAUUAAAAAAAAAAAAAAAAAGAGUCUAUACGGAGUAGGAGAAGCAACCGUUUCAUCAUUCACAGAAGAAUCAACGUCCAGUUUAAUGAAAGGACACUCCCAAAGACAAAAGCAGGAAAAGAAAAUGAACACAAUAAAAUCAAUAAGCUCGGGAAUAGCCCCUACCCCCGGGAGACACAGAACGAUCCCUGUAUCUUCCAUAGGAGUCAUAAUCGUCACCCCUCUUACCAUAGGGGGAGCGCGAUCCCCGAUGAUCCCUAUGAUA